rnacentral:rRNA from 1 species
GUCGAACGUGAAAGCACUUCGGUGUGAGUAGAGUGGCGGACGGGUGAGUAACGCGUGGGAAUCUGCCCAGUAGUGGGGGACAACUACCGGAAACGGUAGCUAAUACCGCAUACGCCCUAUGGGGGAAAGGCUUCGGCCGCUAUUGGAUGAGCCCGCGUCAGAUUAGCUAGUUGGUAGGGUAAAGGCCUACCAAGGCAACGAUCUGUAGCUGGUCUGAGAGGACGAACAGCCACACUGGGACUGAGACACGGCCCAGACUCCUACGGGAGGCAGCAGUGGGGAAUAUUGGACAAUGGGCGAAAGCCCGAUCCAGCAAUGCCGCGUGCGUGAAGAAGGCCUGCGGGUUGUAAAGCACUUUCAGUUGGGAAGAUGAUGACGUUACCAACAGAAGAAGCACCGGCUAAAUCCGUGCCAGCAGCCGCGGUAAUACGGAUGGUGCGAGCGUUAAUCGGAAUUACUGGGCGUAAAGCGCGCGUAGGCGGCUAAGUCAGUCAGAAGUGAAAGCCCCGGGCUCGACCUGGGAAUUGCUUUUGAUACUGCUUAGCUAGAGUUUGGUAGAGGAUAGUGGAAUUCCAGGUGUAGCGGUGAAAUGCGUAGAUAUCUGGAGGAACAUCAGUGGCGAAGGCGACUGUCUGGACCAAAACUGACGCUGAGGUGCGAAAGCGUGGGUAGCAAACAGGAUUGGAUACCCUGGUAGUCCACGCCGUAAACGAUGUCAACUAGCCGUCGGGUCUAUUUACAGACUUGGUGGCGAAGCUAACGCGAUAAGUUGACCGCCUGGGGAGUACGGCCGCAAGGNUAAAACUCAAAGGAAUUGACGGGGGCCCGCACAAGCGGUGGAGCAUGUGGUUUAAUUCGAUGC